rnacentral:rRNA from 1 species
UACGGAGGGUGCAAGCGUUAUCCGGAUUUACUGGGUUUAAAGGGUGUGUAGGCGGGCUUUUAAGUCAGUGGUGAAAUCUCCGGGCUCAACCUGGAAACUGCCAUUGAUACUAUUAGUCUUGAAUUUUGUUGAGGUGGGCAGAAUAUGUCAUGUAGCGGUGAAAUGCGUAGAUAUCGGGAGGAACAUCAGUGGCGAAGGCGGCCCUCUGGUCCAGUACUGACACUCAAGUGCGAAAGCGUGGGGAGCAAACAGG